rnacentral:rRNA from 1 species
UGGGGAAUAUUGGACAAUGGGGGCAACCCUGAUCCAGCAAUGCCGCGUGAGUGAAGAAGGCCCUCGGGUUGUAAAGCUCUUUCAUCAGCGAAGAUAAUGACGGUAACUGAAGAAGAAGCUCCGGCUAACUCCGUGCCAGCAGCCGCGGUAAUACGGAGGGGGCUAGCGUUGUUCGGAAUUACUGGGCGUAAAGAGCACGUAGGCGGAUCAAAAAGUUAGAUGUGAAAUCCCUAAGCUUAACUUAGGAACUGCAUUUGAAACUAGUGAUCUAGAAUUUGGCAGGGGAUAGUAGAAUUUCCAGUGUAGAGGUGAAAUUCGUAGAUAUUGGAAAGAAUACCAGUAGCGAAGGCGACUAUCUGGACCAACAUUGACGCUGAGGUGCGAAAGCGUGGGUAGCAAACAGG